UCCCGCCUCGUUACAGGAAGCAGCUCACCUGAGUGUCCGUGUUUAGUGUUCAGGUGUGGAGUGGGGCUUGUUGUUGGUGUGUGUGUUCGAAGAAACUACGCAGUACAGAGCAUCGCCAUGUAUCCCAACUCCAAGAGUGGAGAAUAGAUUUGUAGUCUGUCAAAUUAAUAUAACAUCAGCCAUCCUGUUUACACCAUGUUUAGAGGAAACUCCACAGAAAGGUGAAGGUAGAAAGUGUGUGUGAGCUGAUGUGGAUGUGAAUUCAGCAGCAUGGAUCAGUGUGAG